rnacentral:rRNA from 1 species
AGGAGAACGUUCUCUUCGGAGAACUAGUAAACUGGCGGACGGGUGAGUAACGCGUAGGAAACCUGCCCUAAAGACUGGGAUAACAUACCGAAAGGGAUGCUAAUACCAGAUAAUACUCUAUACUGCAUGGUAUAGACUCAAAGGAGGCAUUUCGGUGCUUCUACUUUUGGAUGGUCCUGCGUCUGAUUAGCUUGUUGGUAGGGUAACGGCCUACCAAGGCAAUGAUCAGUAGCUGGUUCGAGAGGAUGAUCAGCCACACUGGGACUGAGAUACGGCCCAGACUCCUACGGGAGGCAGCAGUGAGGAAUUUUGCGCAAUGGGCGAAAGCUUGACGCAGCAACGCCGCGUGAUCGAAGAAGCUCUGAGGAGUGUAAAGAUCUGUCAUAAGGGAANAAUGCUUUUAUAUACUAACACUAUAUAGAAUUGACGGUACCUUAUAAGAAAGCCCCGGCUAACUUGGUGCCAGCAGCCGCGGUAAUACCAGGGGGGCAAGCGUUGUCCGGAUUCAUUGGGCGUAAAGGGUUCGUAGGCGGAUUGGAAAGUCAAAAUUGAAAUGUUACGGCUUAACCGUAAAAAUGGUUUCGAUACUACCAGUCUUGAAUCAUGCAGGGGUAAGUGGAAUUCCUGGUGUAGCGGUGAAAUGCGUAGAUAUCAGGAGGAACACCAAAAGCGAAGGCAGCUUACUGGGCAUGUAUUGACGCUGAGGAACGAAAGCGUGGGUAGCAAACAGGAUUAGAGACCCUGGUAGUCCACGCCGUAAACGAUCAGCACUUGGUGAUGGGAGAUUCGACCCUUUCAUUGCCGGAGUUA